rfam:Ciona savignyi cont_36532, whole genome shotgun sequence.
GUUUCCGUAGUGGUAGUGGUUAUCACGUUCGCCUUACACGCGAAAGGUACCCCGGUUCGAACCCGGGCGGAAACA